GAUGAACGCUAGCGGCAGGCUUAACACAUGCAAGUCGAGGGGCAGCAUAAAUAGUAGCAAUACUAUUGGUGGCGACCGGCGGACGGGUGCGUAACGCGUAUACAACCUACCCUAAACAGGGGGAUAAUCUGGAGAAAUUCGGUCUAAUACCCCAUAACAUCAGAGCAGGCAUCUGUUUUGGUUAAGAUUUCCGGAGGUUUAGGAUGGGUAUGCGUAGCAUUAGCUAGUUGGUGAGGUAACGGCUCACCAAGGCGACGAUGCUUAGGGGGACUGAGAGGUUAACCCCCACACUGGUACUGAGACACGGACCAGACUCCUACGGGAGGCAGCAGUGAGGAAUAUUGGUCAAUGGGCGGAAGCCUGAACCAGCCAUGCCGCGUGCAGGAUGACGGCUCUAUGAGUUGUAAACUGCUUUUGUACGAGGGUAAAGUGGGCUACGUGUAGCCUUUUGGAAGUAUCGUACGAAUAAGGAUCGGCUAACUCCGUGCCAGCAGCCGCAGUAA
rnacentral:rRNA from 1 species